rnacentral:misc_RNA from 1 species
UUAAUAAGUGUUUUAUGGCUACUUUUUAAAUCCAUAUCCACCUUGUGUGCAAUGUCAGUCGAUCUUCUUUAUGGAGGAUCGACCAAACAUCAACCUUUAUCUUUUAACUCUUUGUCUGAAAAAUAUUAUGAAUAAACAAUUCAAAAUA